UCCUCAGUCUGACUCUCUCUUUCUCUCUCCACACCUGUCUUCCAUUAGGGUUCGGUGACCAGCCACUGACUCAAAGUGCACAGGAAGCGAUGCAGUGACGUGCACGACAGGCUCGAAUCACUCACAGGCUGACACUGAGGGCGCAGCCUGAUGAAGACGUAAAGUAAUAUCCCAGCAGCGCAUGAGGUUAAGGUGCCAAUUAACCCCAGAUGGGUGGCGUCGCCCACACGAGAGGUGACGUGAGGUGAUUCGCCAUCACUUUGGAGCCCUGAUGAGAAUUCCACUAAUCAGCAGAGGAUUAACAGGGACUCAGACAACACUACAUCUAAUUCCCCCUUCACCGCCACUGGGGCAACAAGAGGCCCCACGCAGCACUACAGCACCGCAGCAGAACAGAUCUCUAUGCAUGUGUAUGCAACUAUUUCUAUUAGACUCGGAUAUUCACUUGUUGAUUUAGACAUGACUGGUCAGUAUGAGCCAAAUGUAGCCAUAAGUUGCUCCAUCGUGCUAACCCUGUCUAGAAAGUAUGUAGAUAUACUAAUUAGUUUUGCCAAAUUCAUUUCGAGGUAACUGUGUAACCAUGUUCAAUGGCAACAUUAUGUACAAUGAACACAGCGCUACAUUCAUGUAAAAGGAGCAAGACUUAGGUCAAGGUUAGGGAAAGACUGUGAUUUCAGUUACAUGAUAAAAAUGUCCUGUCUUGUGCUUCCAGUCACUGCUGACUUUUUCAGUAUUUAACUACAAUUUUCCCCUAACCUUAAACAAGUGAAACUACUGAAAUAUCUCCAGGGAAAACACGUAAGAUAUUUUGUUAGUGAACACGACUUGGCAGUUAGAUUUAUUAAAUGCAUUUCCAAAUUAUGUAGAUAAAAAACAUAGUUCACAUGCUCUUACAUUUCUCCCACAUGCUGUUUCAAAUUAGUAUUAUAAACAUGAUUUCUUGGAAACAGUGUUGAUCGCACAUAAUAAACAGAGAGCUGUCUUAGUUUGCCCUAUCAAAGGGAGUUCACCUUGGUGAAACAAUUAUAUGAUUAAUCAAUUAAUUGACAGAAAAUGUGCUUGCAAAAAUUUGAUAAUCGAUUAAUUUGUUUAUGUAAUUUAUCAAGCAGUAAGGCCACACAUUUGCUGGUUUCAGCUUUUCAAAUGUGAGGAUUUUUAUGUCAAUGUAUAUUAGAUAUAUUUGGAUU